rnacentral:rRNA from 1 species
AUUGAACGCUGGCGGCAGGCCUAACACAUGCAAGUCGAACGGUAACAGAAAGCAGCUUGCUGCUUUGCUGACGAGUGGCGGACGGGUGAGUAAUGUCCGGGAAACUGCCUGAUGGAGGGGGGUAACUACUGGAAACGGUAGCUAAUACCGCAUAACGUCGCAAGAGCAAAGAGGGGGACCUUCGGGCCUCUUGCCAGCGGAUGUGCCCAGAUGGGAUUAGAGAGUGGGUGGGGUAACGGCUCACCGAGGCGACGAUCCCUAGCUGGUCUGAGAGGAUGACCAGCCACACUGGAACUGAGACACGGUCCAGACUCCUACGGGAGGCAGCAGUGGGGAAUAUUGGACAAUGGGCGGAAGCCUGAUGCAGCCAUGCCGCGUGUAUGAAGAAGGCCUUCGGGUUGUAAAGUACUUUUAUCGGGAAGGAAAAGAGUAAAGUUAAUACCUUAGCUCAUUGACGGUACCCGCAGAAGAAGCACCGGCUAACUACGUG